GUAGUCAUAUGCUUGUCUCAAAGAUUAAGCCAUGCAUGUCUAAGUAUAAGCAACUAUACAGUGAAACUGCGAAUGGCUCAUUAAAUCAGUUAUCGUUUAUUUGAUAGUACCUUACUACUUGGAUAACCGUGGUAAUUCUAGAGCUAAUACAUGCUAAAAAUCCCGACCUCCGGAAGGGAUGUAUUUAUUAGAUAAAAAACCAAUGCCUUCGGGCUUGUUGGUGAUUCAUGAUAACUAAACGAAUCGCAUGGCCUUGCGCCGGCGAUGGUUCAUUCAAAUUUCUGCCCUAUCAACUUUCGAUGGUAGGAUAGUGGCCUACCAUGGUUUCAACGGGUAACGGGGAAU
rnacentral:rRNA from 1 species